AGCUUUGCGCAGUGGCAGUAUCGUAGCCAAUGAGGUUUAUCCGAGGUGCGAUUAUUGCUAAUUGAAAAAAAAAACUAGAUGAU
rnacentral:snRNA from 1 species